rnacentral:misc_RNA from 1 species
GAUGAAGAACGCAGCGAAAUGCGAUAAGUAAUGUGAAUUGCAGAAUUCAGUGAAUCAUCGAACCUUUGAACGCACAUUGCGCCCGCCAGUAUUCUGGCGGGCAUGCCUGUCCGAGCGUCAUUUCAACCAUCAAGCCCCCGGGCUUGUGUUGGGGACCUGCGGCUGCCCGCAGGCCCUGAAAACCAGUGGCGGGCUCGCUGUCACACCGAGCGUAGUAGCAAUCACCUCGCUCAGGGCGUGCUGCGGGUUCCGGCCGUUAAACAGCCUUACAAAACCCAAGGUUGACCUCGGAUCAGGUAGGAAGACCCGCUGAACUUAAGCAUAUCAAUAAGCGGAGGA